AGCAUGUCGAACAACGCUUGAAUCGAAACGUAGUUCACACCACAGAUUUUGAAGUCAACACAGCCGCUACAGUCCCAUUAGUUUUCUUUGCAGCCUCGUUUGAAUGUCGUGGUUGCGCACAGUUGUACGGAAUGGGUUUGGAUUGGAUCACAAACCAACACUACCACCAUGAUGGGUCUGGAAUGCGAGGGACCACCGCUGACAACCCAAUCUGCAAACAUCGCAUCCAUGGUCCAUAACAAACUGAGCAGCAGGGUGGUGUGGUCUGCUCCUCUCUCAGCAGGGUGGUGUGGUCUGCUCCUCUCUCACCGGGUGGUGUGGUCUGCUCCUCUCUCACCGGGUGGUGUGGUCUGCUCCUCUCUCAGCAGGGUGGUGUGGUCUGCUCCUCUCUCAGCAGGGUGGUGUGGUCUGCUCCUCUCUCACCGGGUGGUGUUGUCUGCUCCUCUCUCACCGGGUGGUGUGCUUUUAGCUUUGUUUUGCUUUUCUCACCCUACUCUCGCACCCCUUGUUUUUUCCCUGCAGG
rnacentral:lncRNA from 1 species